rnacentral:rRNA from 1 species
UACGGAGGGUGCGAGCGUUACUCGGAAUUACUGGGCGUAAAGCGCGUGUAGGUGGUCUUGUAAGUCUGGUGUGAAAUCCCGGGGCUCAACUCCGGAAGUGCAUUGGAUACUGUAAGACUAGAGUGCAGGAGAGGAUGGCGGAAUUCCAGGUGUAGAGGUGAAAUUCGUAGAUAUCUGGAGGAACAUCGGAGGCGAAGGCGGCCAUCUGGACUGCAACUGACACUGAGACGCGAAAGCGUGGGGAGCAAACAGG